AUCAUGGCUCAGAACGAACGUUAGCGGCGCGCCUAACACAUGCAAGUCGCACGAGAAAGGGCUUCGGCCCCGGUACAGUGGCGCACGGGUGAGUAACACGUGGGUAAUCUGCCCUCGAGCGGGGGAUAACAUUCCGAAAGGAGUGCUAAUACCGCAUAAGACCACGACCUCGAAAGAGGAUGCGGUCAAAGCUGGCCUCUAUACAUAAGCUAGCACUUGAGGAUGAGCCCGCGGCGCAUCAGCUAGUUGGUGGGGUAAUGGCCCACCAAGGCUAAGACGCGUAGCUGGUCUGAGAGGAUGAUCAGCCACACUGGAACUGAGACACGGUCCAGACUCCUACGGGAGGCAGCAGUGGGGAAUCUUGCGCAAUGGGCGAAAGCCUGACGCAGCGACGCCGCGUGAGUGAUGAAGGCCUUCGGGUUGUAAAGCUUCUGUGGGGAGAGACGAAUAAGUGCAGCCUAAUACGUUGCAUAUGACGGUAUCUCCUUAGCAAGCACCGGCUAAUAUAGUGC
rnacentral:rRNA from 1 species